AGUUUGUGUGCGCUACGCUACUGUUCUCCAGAAGUAAGAACAGCUGGGCGAAUCGGUGCGGUUACAGUAUUCAUAUAUGUUACACUGCAUGGUGAAGCGAGAGAAAGAAAAACAGGAUGUCUAAUAGCUGCGCAUACAUUUGAGAUAGAGAGUACCAUCCGGUAUGCUCUCUGUAUACAUGUGCAUGCGUAUUUGGUGCCAUUGAUCGUAUGCGUUUUAUGGCCACAAGAAAUCAUCAUGCGAAGAAAGUUGUAUUUUAUGAUUGUAUUGACGUACAUGGCGGUGUGUGCUAUGUGCCGCCGAUCCCUUCGUUCGAAAGUCACACCCCAAUGUAACCUCGAAGUGAAGAGAGUGAAA